rnacentral:lncRNA from 1 species
AGAUUUCUCUGGGUGUUUCCUCCCCUACAGCAUGUUUUUUAGAAGUGAAAUCAGGUUACGAAGAGCACUAAGGCAGCUUUGAAGGGGAAGUCCUGAGAGAACAGGCUGCAGCUUCGGGGUAUAACAUCACUAUUGUAAAACCUCAGAUUGGUGCUCAAGAUAGUUUUCAGACCCUGCACUUGAUGGAUCAGCUGGCACUACUCAGAUCAACACACUGGCUCACCUGGUCUUGUGGCCCCCACCCAGGAAAUGACUCAGCACAAGAGGACAGCUUUGACUCCCUGUGAUUUCAUCUCAGACCCAACCAGUCAGCUCUCCCUACUACUUGGCCCCCUACCCACCAAAUUAUCCUUAAAAAACCCCAGCCUCUAAAUUUUGGGGGUGACUGUUUUGAGUAAUAAUAAAACUCUGGUAUCCCAUUGA